GAUGAACGCUGGCGGCGUGCCUAAUACAUGCAAGUCGAGCGAACAGAUGAGGAGCUUGCUCCUCUGACGUUAGCGGCGGACGGGUGAGUAACACGUGGAUAACCUACCUAUAAGACUGGGAUAACUUCGGGAAACCGGAGCUAAUACCGGAUAAUAUAUUGACCCUCAUGGUUCAAUAGUGAAAUACGGUUUUUGUGUCACUUAUAGAUGGAUCCGCGCCGCAUUGUCUAGUUGGUAAGGUAACGGCUUACCAAGGCAACGAUGCGUAGCCGACCUGAGAGGGUGGUCGGCCACACGGGAACUGAGACACGGUCCAGACUCCUACGGGAGGCAGCAGUAGGGACUCUUCCGCAAUGGGCGAAAGCCUAACGUAGCAACGCCGCGUGAGGGAUGAAGGUCUUCGGAUCGUAAAACUAUGUUAUUAGGGAAGAACAAAUGUGUAAGUAACUAUGCACGUCUUGACGGUACCUAAUCAAAAAGCCACGGCUAACUACGUG
rnacentral:rRNA from 1 species